GCCUCGUCGGGAGUUCUCUUCAAGCACUUAAGGAUACAUCUUUUCUAGAAACUUUCUGAAGUGUUUGGGGGGACUCUCGGUGUCGC
rnacentral:pre_miRNA from 1 species